CAGGUAGGGAUACCCGCUGAACUUAAGCAU
rnacentral:rRNA from 2 species